AUGCACGCUGGCGGCGUGCCUCAUACCUGCAAGUCGAGCGCACGGACGAGAAGCUUGCUUCUCUGAUGUUAGCGGCGGACGGGUGAGUAACACGUGGAUAACCUACCUAUAAGACUGGGAUAACUUCGGGAAACCGGAGCUAAUACCGGAUGAUAUUUUGAACCGCAUGGUUCAAAAGUGAAAGACGGUCUUGCUGUCACUUAUAGAUGGAUCCGCGCUGCAUUAGCUAGUUGGUAAGGUAACGGCUUACCAAGGCAACGAUGCAUAGCCGACCUGAGAGGGUGAUCGGCCACACUGGAACUGAGACACGGUCCAGACUCCUACGGGAGGCAGUAGUAGGGAAUCUUCCGCAAUGGGCGAAAGCCUGACGGAGCAACGCCGCGUGAGUGAUGAAGGUCUUCGGAUCGUAAAACUCUGUUAUUAGGGAAGAACAUAUGUGUAAGUAACUGUGCACAUCUUGACGGUACCUAAUCAGAAAGCCACGGCUAACUACGUG
rnacentral:rRNA from 1 species